GAUCCACAGAGCCAGACACCACUGAAAGGAGAGAAACCUGGGGAAGAGGAGACUUUCCAGAGACUGAGCAUUUCUGUUUUAAAGUCUUUGUCCUACCUUAAAAGAGUUACCCUGUCAACUGGUCGAGGUGCCUCACCCAGGUGUGAAUGGUACGGAGCCGGCAUGCCUCUGCAGAGAGUGAGACCAAAGCAAAGCCAGCUGGAAACAGCUUCUGCGGGCGGACUUCCAGAUCUGCAUGGAAGGAAGGUGCGUGGACUGGAGCGAGCGGUCAGUGUCAGCAUGCGCAGUGCCAUCGACGGGUGCUGCCUUGCAAAGGGUCAUGCCCACUGCCCCCAGCAUACUGUCUGCCUGUGGGAAGCCUGGGAUCUGUGAACUGAGGGAGCCGCUGUGGUCUACACAUGGGUCUCCUUGGGGAUGCACUGCAUCGGCAGAAGGAAGAGGCUCGUGAAAACUUCUGUGGUGUGGUAAACUGUGGUUGACUUGGCAAGGCUUCCCUGUAUAUGAAUCAAUGAUAUGUGUCACUCCACUCAAUUAAAAAAAAUACUUCCAGCAGAAUUUCUCAAAUGGUUUGUAACAGUACAUAUUUUGCAUUUCAGGAGUCAACUUUCUCUUGAAAGACUAU
rnacentral:lncRNA from 1 species